rnacentral:rRNA from 1 species
UACGUAGGGUGCAAGGGUUAUUCGGAAUUACUGGGCGUAAAGCGUGCGCAGGCGGCUUUGCAAGACAGAUGUGAAAUCCCCGGGCUCAACCUGGGAACUGCAUUUGUGACUGCAUGGCUGGAGUGCGGCAGAGGGGGAUGGAAUUCCGCGUGUAGCAGUGAAAUGCGUAGAUAUGCGGAGGAACACCGAUGGCGAAGGCAAUCCCCUGGGCCUGCACUGACGCUCAUGCACGAAAGCGUGGGGAGCAAACAGG